ensembl:antisense
GCCCACCCGAACCGGCCGCGCGCCGCAGCGCAGUCCUCUGGGACCCCGCAGGCGCUGUCGCCCGAGGACGGGGAGCCGGAGAACCAGUCCUGCGCGCGCGCCUGCAGCGCGGACGGGGACGAGAGCGAGGCCUACUGCGCCAGCGAAUUCGCGGUGAACGGAAUCGUGCACGACGUGGACGUGUUGGGCGCGGGCAUGCGCCUGGUGACUCUUCUGGUGGACCCCGACGGGCUGUACAAGAUGAGCCGCCUGUACAUCACUCCCGACGGCUUUUUCUUCCGCGUGCAUAUAUUAGCCCUGGACUCCUCCAGUUGCCAUAAGCCGUGUCCAGAAUUUAAACCUGGAAGCAGGUAUAUUGUGAUGGGCCACAUCUACCAUAAGAGACGGCAGCUACCCGGUGCGUUGCUCCAGGUCCUAAGAGGGCGCCUGCGUCCAGGAGACGGGCUGAUCCAGAGUAGCAGCGGCUAUGUGAAAAGGUUUAACCGAAAGCGGGAGUGGCAAGUUCGAGGUGCCACCCACACCCAGUGCAUUUGAACAGGCCAACUUGGCACUUGGGAUCGCUCUUCACAUGGCGGGAGGCUUCUGUGAAGCAGGGGGCCCACAGCCAGCUACCUUAUGGACUCCGUGGGCAGCUUAGCUCUAAAGCUGUCACUUUAUUUACAGAAUGCUGACAGGUGUGCUCCAGAACACUGUGGGAAAGUCCCUCAGGGGCAGUAACGCACACAACCCAGACACCAGACCCCGCAGGUCAACAGAUCACGCCACUUUUGCUGUUUUUAAGUUAUUUUAAUUUAAUACAUUUCCCCCAGUGGAGACAGUUCACAAAACAGUUCUCGAAUUUAAAUAAUACAACUUUGACUAGUAUCUAUCACGUGUCAAGCCAGAUUUUGUAUUUAAAGCAUCGAGUUUUAAAUUCCACAUGCAGGAGUAAGCGCCCUCAUCAUUUACAUAUGAAAUGUCAUAUAGAUCAAACACCAGCCAAGUGCAAAAACUAUUACAUUUCAAGGGCUAAUUCAAGCAAAACACCAUUCAAGGUGUGUUCCUGAUGUACCACACAAUACAAGCCCCUGUGUAUUGUCAUGCCUCCUUGCUCCCAAUAAUUUGUUUUGUGCCAAACUGGCAUCGAUUCCAGGACGUUUUCUGGUGUAUCUGAUGUCAUUUUGAUGUUAAGACCUGGUAGUAUCAUGAUUGUGUUUGCAAAGCAGUAAAUCUUGCUGUGAAAUC